rnacentral:rRNA from 1 species
UACGUAGGGUGCGAGCGUUAAUCGGAAUUACUGGGCGUAAAGCGUGCGCAGGCGGUGAUGUAAGACAGAUGUGAAAUCCCCGGGCUCAACCUGGGAACUGCAUUUGUGACUGCAUCGCUGGAGUGCGGCAGAGGGGGAUGGAAUUCCGCGUGUAGCAGUGAAAUGCGUAGAGAUGCGGCGGAACACCGAUGGCGAAGGCAGCCCCCUGGGCUGAGAUUGACGCUCAGGCACGAAAGCGUGGGGAGCAAACAGG